GCUAACACAUGCAGCCGAGCGGUAGAGUCUCUUCGGGCACUUGAGAGCGGCGUACCGGGUGCGGAACACGUGUGCAACCUGCCUUUAUCAGGGGGAUAGCCUUUCGAAAGGAAGAUUAAUACCCCAUAAUAUAAUGAACGGCAUCGUUUAUUAUUGAAAACUGAGGUGGAUAGAGAUGGGCACGCGCAAGAUUAGAUAGUUGGUGAGGUAACGGCUCACCAAGUCAGUGAUCUUUAGGGGGCCUGAGAGGGUGAUCCCCCACACUGGUACUGAGACACGGACCAGACUCCUACGGGAGGCAGCAGUGAGGAAUAUUGGACAAUGGGUGAGAGCCUGAUCCAGCCAUCCCGCGUGAAGGACGACUGCCCUAUGGGUUGUAAACUUCUUUUGUACAGGGAUAAACCUAUUUACGUGUAAAUAGCUGAAGGUACUGUACGAAUAAGCACCGGCUAACUCCGUGCCAGCAGCCGCGGUAAUACGGAGGGUGCAAGCGUUAUCCGGAUUUAUUGGGUUUAAAGGGUCCGUAGGCGGAUCUGUAAGUCAGUGGUGAAAUCUCACAGCUUAACUGUGAAACUGCCAUUGAUACUGCAGGUCUUGAGUAAAGUAGAAGUGGCUGGAAUAAGUAGUGUAGCGGUGAAAUGCAUAGAUAUUACUUAGAACACCAAUUGCGAAGGCAGGUCACUAUGUUUUAACUGACGCUGAUGGACGAAAGCGUGUGGAGCGAACAGGAUUAGAUACCCUGGUAGUCCACGCCGUAAACGAUGCUAACUCCUUUUUGGGUUUUCGGAUUCAGAGACUAAGCGAAAGUGAUAAGUUUAGCCACCCUGGGGGAGUACGUUUCGCAAGGAAUGAAAACUCAGAGGCAAUUGUACGGGGGGCCCGCCACAAGCCGUUGGAUUAAUGUGGGUUUAAAUUCGAUUCAUACCGCGCAGGCAACCUUUACCAAAGGCUGUAAAUGGGGAAUUUGACAAGUGUUUAGAUAAUUAUAUUUUUUCUUUCGGACCAACUUUUUUAGUGUGCUUGUAUAGGUGUUGUCUGAUCAGCCUCCGCGGC
rnacentral:rRNA from 1 species